GAUGAACGCUGGCGGCGUGCCUAAUACAUUCAAGUCGAGCGAACAGACGAGGAUCUUGCUCCUCUGACGUUAUCGUCGGACGGGUGAGUAACACGUGGAUAACCUACCUAUAAGACUGGGAUAACUUCGGGAAACCGGCGCUAAUACCGGAUAAUCUAUUUAACCGCAUGGUUCAAUAGUGCAAGACGCGCUUUCUGUCACCUAUAGAUGGAUCCGCUCCGCAUCAGCUGAUUGGUAAUGUAACGGCUUACCAAGGCGACGAUGCGUAGCCCACCUGAGAGGGUGAUCGCACACACCGGAAGUGAGCAGCGGUCACGAAUCACAUGGGAGGGCGGAGUAGGGAAUCUUCCGCAAUGGGCGAAAGCCUGAGGGAGCAACGCCGCGCGAGUGAUGAAGGUCCUCGGAUCGUAAAACGCUGUUAUUAGGGAAGAACAAAUGUGUAAGUAACUAUGCACGUCUGGACGGUACCUAAUCAGAAAGCCACGGCCAACUACGU
rnacentral:rRNA from 1 species